rnacentral:rRNA from 1 species
UACGUAGGGGGCGAGCGUUGUCCGGAUUUAUUGGGCGUAAAGCGCGUGUAGGCGGCUUUGCAAGUCGGGUGUGAAAGCCCUCAGCUCAACUGAGGAAGUGCGCCCGAAACUGCAGAGCUUGAGUGCCGGAGAGGGUGGCGGAAUUCCCCAAGUAGAGGUGAAAUUCGUAGAUAUGGGGAGGAACACCGGUGGCGAAGGCGGCCACCUGGACGGUAACUGACGCUGAGACGCGAAAGCGUGGGGAGCAAACAGG